UUACCGAGUUUACAACUCCCAAACCCCUGUGAACAUACCUAUUUGUUGCCUCGGCGGUGCCUGUUCCGACAGCCCGCCAGAGGACCCCAAACCCUGAUUACAUUUAAGAAGUCUUCUGAGUAAACCGAUUAAAUAAAUCAAAACUUUCAACAACGGAUCUCUUGGUUCUGGCAUCGAUGAAGAACGCAGCGAAAUGCGAUAAGUAAUGUGAAUUGCAGAAUUCAGUGAAUCAUCGAAUCUUUGAACGCACAUUGCGCCCGCUAGUAUUCUGGCGGGCAUGCCUGUCCGAGCGUCAUUUCAACCCUCAAGCCCCCGGGCUUGGUGUUGGGGAUCGGCGAGCCUCCGCGCCCGCCGUCCCCUAAAUCUAGUGGCGGUCUCGCUGUAGCUUCCUCUGCGUAGUAGCACACCUCGCACUGGGAAACAGCGCGGCCACGCCGUUAAACCCCCAACUUCUGAACGUUUGACCUCGGAUCAGGUAGGAAUACCCGCUGAACUUAAGCAUAUCAAUAGCCGGAG
rnacentral:rRNA from 1 species